GACGAACGCUGGCGGCGUGCUUAACACAUGCAAGUCGAACGGGAGUAUCGAAGAAGCUUGCUUUUAAGAUACUUUAGUGGCGGACGGGUGAGUAACGCGUGAGGAGCUGUCCUAUGCAGGGGGACAACAGUUGGAAACGACUGCUAAUACCCCAUAAGCCGAGAGGUAAAAGGAUUUAUCCGGCAAAGGAGGUACUCGCGUCCUAUCAGCUAGUAGGUGAGGUAACGGCUCACCUAGGCGAAGACGGGUAGCCGGCCUGAGAGGGCGAACGGCCACACUGGAACUGAGAUACGGUCCAGACUCCUACGGGAGGCAGCAGUGGGGAAUAUUGGGCAAUGGGGGCAACCCUGACCCAGCGACGCCGCGUGGGUGAAGAAAUCCUUCGGGAUGUAAAGCCCUGUUGUAUGGGAAGAGCAGAAGACGGUACCAUACGAGGAAGCCCCGGCAAACUACGUGCCAGCAGCAGCCGCAG
rnacentral:rRNA from 1 species